UAACCUGCCCAAGAGAUCGGGAUAACACCUGGAAACAGAUGCUAAUACCGGAUAACAACAGAUGAUGCCUAUCAACUGUUUAAAAGAUGGUUCUGCUAUCACUCUUGGAUGGACCUGCGGUGCAUUAGCUGUUGGUAGGGUAACGGCCUACCAAGGCGAUGAUGCAUAGCCGAGUUGAGAGACUGAUCGGCCACAUUGGGACUGAGACACGGCCCAAACUCCUACGGGAGGCAGCAGUG
rnacentral:rRNA from 1 species